AAAGUCGUAACAAGGUUUCCGUAGGUGAACCUGCGGAAGGAUCAUUAGAGGAUGUGGAUGGAUGUGUUUUACUAGUACUUGUUAGGGUGAGGAUGAGUUUAUGGGUUAUAUCCAUGUACACCUCACCCUAACCAGCAAUUUAUUCAACAUUGACAAGAUAUAAAAUUACAUGAGCACCUUGCUGCAAUGGAUCUCUCGGCUCUU
rnacentral:misc_RNA from 1 species